CCUACGGGUGGCAGCAGUAAGGAAUAUUGGUCAAUGGAGGAAACUCUGAACCAGCCAUCCCGCGUGAAGGAUGAAGGGGCUCUGCCUUGUAAACUUCUUUUGUCUGGGGCGAAAAAGCUCGAUUUAUCGAGAACUGACGGUACCAGAAGAAUAAGCACCGGCUAACUCCGUGCCAGCAGCCGCGGUAAUACGGAGGGUGCAGGCGUUACCCGGAAUCACUGGAGUGAAGGGGUGUUUAGGAGUCAGUGGAGAGAGGCUGUGGCUGAACCAUGGAAUUGCCAUUGAUACUGCAGAGCUUGAAUGAGGUUGAGGGUGGCGGAAUGUGACAUGUAGCGGUGAAAUGCUUAGAUAUGUCAUGGAACACCGAUUGCGAAGGCAGCUGACUGGACCUAUAUUGACGCUGAGGCACGAAAGCGUGGGGAGCGAACAGGAUUAGAUACCCCAGUAGUC
rnacentral:rRNA from 1 species